AUGUAGCUCUUGAAGCGUUCAGAAAGGCGCGCUCGCAAAGUUCACCUGUUACGAUACGCCCGCCUAACAAGUUGUGCUCUUUUGCUUGUCAACGUUUGUCCGAAUUUGGUGACGCGGGUAGCUUCGUCCUUUCUCAACCUGUUCCGUCAAAAGUAAGAGCUCCUUGAAAACGUCAUUGCUCCGAAGAAUCAACGACUCCCAUCGGCAGAACAUAGCUUGCCGAAUUGCUAGUUUCAAAGCACGAAGAGCUGAAACAGACACUGGUGAUCGCUGCAGGAUAGGCGCAGGUUGAGCAUGAGAUCAGAGGUUCGAGCAAGGUUGGAAAUUAAGCAACGUGGGACACAGUCUGGCGAAUGAAGAAAGAAAAGAAAAACGACGAACGUAACCUUCCAGUUGCCCGACCUGCUGCGCUACUUUCCUGCUCUCUUCCAAAAAUGGAACGCCAGAGUCAUCACAAACGGCGAUAGCGAAUGCUUCCGCGUAAUCUCCAACCCGGGUUUCCGUGCCAACAGGGUGCAGCACAGCCAGCUUCAACUACAUUCAAGAAACCCAACAUUAUGCAACCUUAACCCAACAUUCAAGGUCCACUGAAUGACAAUAGCAGCAGAACAAAACAAUAAAUUUAGUGAAAACAAGAAACUUUAAUUAG